rnacentral:misc_RNA from 1 species
UCUCCGUUGGUGAACCAGCGGAGGGAUCAUUACCGAGUUUACAACUCCCAAACCCAAUGUGAACCAUACCUAACUGUUGCCUCGGCGGGGUCACGCCCCGGGUGCGUCGCAGCCCCGGAACCAGGCGCCCGCCGGAGGGACCAACCAAACUCUUUCUGUAGUCCCCUCGCGGACGUUAUUUUUACAGCUCUGAGCAAAAAUUCAAAAUGAAUCAAAACUUUCAACAACGGAUUUCUUGGUUCUGGCAUCGAUGAAGACGCAGC